UAGAAGAAAMUUAGGUUAAACAAUAAACCAAGAGCCUUCAAAGCCCCAAAUAGGGAUUAAAAGCCCCCUAGUUUYY
rnacentral:tRNA from 1 species